CGCCUGUUUAUCAAAAACAUGUCCUUUUGUUUAUUGAUAUAAGGUCUAACCUGCCCAAUGAUUAUAAUUAUUGAAUGGCCGCGGUAUAUUAACUGUGCUAAGGUAGCAUAAUCACUUGUCUUUUAAUUGAAGGCUGGAAUGAAUGGUUGGACAAGAUGCAUACUUUCUUUGAUUUAUUCAUUGAAUUUAAUUUUUUAGUUAAAAAGCUAAAAUUUUUUUGAGGGACGAGAAGACCCUAUAGAUCUUUAUAUUUUUAUUUAUUAUAUAUUUUAGUGUUUAUUUAUUAUUUUAAUAAAUAAAUUUAUUUGGUUGGGGUGACUGUAGAAUUUAAUUAACUUCUAUUUUUAUUUUUCAUUAAUUAGUGUACAAUUGAUCCAAUUUUUUUGAUUAAAAGAUUAAGUUACCUUAGGGAUAACAGCGUAAUUUCUUCGGAGAGUUCUUAUCGAUGAAGAAGUUUGCGACCUCGAUGUUGGAUUAAAAUAAGUUUUAGGUGUAGGAGCUUAAUUACUAGGUCUGUUCGACCUUUAAUUUUUUACAUGAUCUGAGUUCAAACCGGAG
rnacentral:rRNA from 1 species